GGCGGUGUCUUAAUCUAUUCAGAGGAAUUUGUCCCGUUAUCGAUAAUCCUCGUUGUAUCUUUCUUUAAUUUAUUUAGUAUGUAUAUCGCCGUUAUAAGUUUAUUUUUUUAGAAUAUUUGCUUUUAUUAAAUUAUUUAUUAUUUCAGGUCAAGGUGCAGUUUAUAUUAAAGUGGUGGUGAAUUACAAUAAUUUUGAUUAAACGGAUUUGUGUGUUUAAAGUUACAUUGAAGGUGGAUUUGAUAGUAAUUUUAAUAAUAGAGUUAUUUUGAUUUUAGUUCUAAGAUGAGUACACAUCGCCCGA
rnacentral:rRNA from 1 species